rnacentral:rRNA from 1 species
GAUGAACGCUGGCGGCGUGCCUAACACAUGCAAGUCGAACGAAGCAUAAGGGAAGGAAGAUUCGUCUGACGGAACUUAUGACUGAGUGGCGGACGGGUGAGUAACGCGUGGGUAACCUGCCCCAUACCGGGGGAUAACAUUCAGAAAUGAGUGCUAAUACCGCAUAAGACCACAGUGCCGCAUGGCACAGGGGUCAAAACUCCGGUGGUAUGGGAUGGACCCGCGUCUGAUUAGGUAGUUGGCGGGGUAACGGCCCACCAAGCCGACGAUCAGUAGCCGACCUGAGAGGGUGACCGGCCACACUGGGACUGAGACACGGCCCAG